AGAGUUUGAUCCUGGCUCAGAUUGAACGCUGGCGGCAUGCCUUACACAUGCAAGUCGAACGGCAGCGCGGGAGCUUGCUCCUGGCGGCGAGUGGCGAACGGGUGAGUAAUACAUCGGAACGUGUCCGUUUGUGGGGGACAACCAGCCGAAAGGUUGGCUAAUACCGCAUAAGACCUGAGGGUGAAAGCCGGGGACCGCAAGGCCUGGCGCAGACGGAGCGGCCGAUGAUUGAUUAGCUUGUUGGCGGGGUAAAGGCCCACCAAGGCGACGAUCAAUAGCUGGUCUGAGAGGACGACCAGCCACACUGGAACUGAGACACGGUCCAGACUCCUACGGGAGGCAGCAGUGGGGAAUAUUGCACAAUGGGCGCAAGCCUGAUGCAGCGACGCCGCGUGAGGGAUGGAGGCCUUCGGGUUGUAAACCUCUUUUGUUUGGGAGCAAGCCUUCGGGUGAGUGUACCUUUCGAAUAAGCACCGGCUAACUACGUGCCAGCAGCCGCGGUAAUACGUAGGGUGCAAGCGUUAAUCGGAAUUACUGGGCGUAAAGCGUGCGCAGGCGGUUGGGUAAGACAGAUGUGAAAUCCCCGGGCUUAACCUGGGAACUGCAUUUGUGACUGUCCGACUGGAGUACGUCAGAGGGGGGUGGAAUUCCGCGUGUAGCAGUGAAAUGCGUAGAUAUGCGGAAGAACACCGAUGGCGAAGGCAGCCCCCUGGGACGCAACUGACGCUCAUGCACGAAAGCGUGGGGAGCAAACAGGAUUAGAUACCCUGGUAGUCCACGCCCUAAACGAUGUCUGCCGGUUGUUGGGGAUUUCUAUCUUCAGUAACGAAGCUAACGCGUGAAGCAGACCGCCUGGGGAGUACGGUCGCAAGAUUAAAACUCAAAGGAAUUGACGGGGACCCGCACAAGCGGUGGAUGAUGUGGAUUAAUUCGAUGCAACGCGAAAAACCUUACCUAGCCUUGACAUGUCAGGAAUGCUUCGUAAAUGAGGCAGUGCCCGCAAGGGAACCUGAGCACAGGUGCUGCAUGGCUGUCGUCAGCUCGUGUCGUGAGAUGUUGGGUUAAGUCCCGCAACG
rnacentral:rRNA from 1 species